rnacentral:tRNA from 1 species
AGGACUAUAAUUUAUAAAAAAUAUUUAAUUUGCACUUAAAAAAAACUCCAGAGUUUGUCUUA